UUUUGCUAAAUUGAAAUACAGCGACUCAUUCUUCUCCAACUCUUGGAGUGGUCAAUCCCAUCUCAAUCACAUUCUGACUUCACAAGUACUUGACUAUGCCCAGAAGUUUUUCAUCACUGAAUUAGAAAUUCAGUUAGUCCAGUACCAAAGCAUAGUGAGUUGCUUGCAAGUCACUGAGGUAAUCUCAGGUCUAAGGGAUACUUAUAUUUAUAUCCCA
rnacentral:lncRNA from 1 species